rnacentral:rRNA from 1 species
GAGGGGAGUGAAAAAGAACCUGAAACCGUGUACGUACAAGCAGUGGGAGCACAGAGCAAUCUGUGUGACUGCGUACCUUUUGUAUAAUGGGUCAGCGACUUAUAUUCUGUAGCAAGGUUAACCGAAUAGGGGAGCCGAAGGGAAACCGAGUCUUAACUGGGCGUUAAGUUGCAGGGUAUAGACCCGAAACCCGGUGAUCUAGCCAUGGGCAGGUUGAAGGUUGGGUAACACUAACUGGAGGACCGAACCGACUAAUGUUGAAAAAUUAGCGGAUGACUUGUGGCUGGGGGUGAAAGGCCAAUCAAACCGGGAGAUAGCUGGUUCUCCCCGAAAGCUAUUUAGGUAGCGCCUCGUGAAUUCAUCUCCGGGGGUAGAGCACUGUUUCGGCAAGGGGGUCAUCCCGACUUACCAACCCGAUGCAAACUGCGAAUACCGGAGAAUGUUAUCACGGGAGACACACGGCGGGUGCUAACGUCCGUCGUGAAGAGGGAAACAACCCAGACCGCCAGCUAAGGUCCCAAAGUCAUGGUUAAGUGGGAAACGAUGUGGGAAGGCCCAGACAGCCAGGAUGUUGGCUUAGAAGCAGCCAUCAUUUAAAGAAAGCGUAAUAGCUCACUGGUCGAGUCGGCCUGCGCGGAAGAUGUAACGGGGCUAAACCAUGCACCGAAGCUGCGGCAGCGACACUGUGUGUUGUUGGGUAGGGGAGCGUUCUGUAAGCCUGUGAAGGUGUGCUGUGAGGCAUGCUGGAGGUAUCAGAAGUGCGAAUGCUGACAUAAGUAACGAUAAAGCGGGUGAAAAGCCCGCUCGCCGGAAGACCAAGGGUUCCUGUCCAACGUUAAUCGGGGCAGGGUGAGUCGACCCCUAAGGCGAGGCCGAAAGGCGUAGUCGAUGGGAAACAGGUUAAUAUUCCUGUACUUGGUGUUACUGCGAAGGGGGGACGGAGAAGGCUAUGUUGGCCGGGCGACGGUUGUCCCGGUUUAAGCGUGUAGGCUGGUUUUCCAGGCAAAUCCGGAAAAUCAAGGCUGAGGCGUGAUGACGAGGCACUACGGUGCUGAAGCAACAAAUGCCCUGCUUCCAGGAAAAGCCUCUAAGCAUCAGGUAACAUCAAAUCGUACCCCAAACCGACACAGGUGGUCAGGUAGAGAAUACCAAGGCGCUUGAGAGAACUCGGGUGAAGGAACUAGGCAAAAUGGUGCCGUAACUUCGGGAGAAGGCACGCUGAUAUGUAGGUGAAGUCCCUCGCGGAUGGAGCUGAAAUCAGUCGAAGAUACCAGCUGGCUGCAACUGUUUAUUAAAAACACAGCACUGUGCAAACACGAAAGUGGACGUAUACGGUGUGACGCCUGCCCGGUGCCGGAAGGUUAAUUGAUGGGGUCAGCGCAAGCGAAGCUCUUGAUCGAAGCCCCGGUAAACGGCGGCCGUAACUAUAACGGUCCUAAGGUAGCGAAAUUCCUUGUCGGGUAAGUUCCGACCUG